rnacentral:rRNA from 1 species
AGAGUUUGAUCCUGGCUCAGAACGAACGCUGGCGGCAUGCCUAACACAUGCAAGUCGAACGAUGCCUCCGGGCAUAGUGGCGCACGGGUGCGUAACGCGUGGGAAUCUGCCCUUGGGUUCGGAAUAACAGUGAGAAAUUACUGCUAAUACGGGAUGAUGACUUCGGUCCAAAGAUUUAUCGCCCAAGGAUGAGCCCGCGUAAGAUUAGCUAGUUGGUGAGGUAAAGGCUCACCAAGGCGACGAUCUUUAGCUGGUCUGAGAGGAUGAUCAGCCACACUGGGACUGAGACACGGCCCAGACUCCUACGGGAGGCAGCAGUGAGGAAUAUUGGACAAUGGGCGCAAGCCUGAUCCAGCCAUGCCGCGUGAGUGAAGAAGGCCUUCGGGUUGUAAAGCUCUUUCGAUAGUGAAGAUAAUGACGGUAGCUAUAGAAGAAGCCCCGGCUAAAUUCGUGCCAGCAGCCGCGGUAAUACGAAUGGGGCAAGCGUUGUUCGGAAUCACUGGGCUUAAAGCGUGCGUAGGCGGACAUGAAAGUCAGGAGUGAAAUCCCGGGGCUCAACCCCGGAAUUGCUUUUGAAACUCCAUGUCUGGAAUCCGGGAGGGGUUAGUGGAAUUCCGAGUGUAGAGGUGAAAUUCGCAGAUAUUCGGAGGAACACCAGUGGCGAAGGCGACUGACUGGACCGGCAUUGACGCUGAGGCACGAAAGCGUGGGGAGCAAACAGGAUUAGAUACGCUGGUAGUCCACGCCGUAAACGAUGUGUGCUAGCUGUCGGGCUCUUCGAGCCCGGUGGCGGAGCGAAAGUAUUAAGCACACCGCCUGGGGAGUACGGCCGCAAGGUUAAAACUCAAAGGAAUUGACGGGGACCCGCACAAGCGGUGGAGCAUGUUGUUUAAUUCGAAGCAACGCGAAGAACCUUACCCACUCUUGACAUCCUCCUUUUGACUUUCAGAGAUGAUCGUCUUCGGUUCGGCCGGGGGAGUGACAGGUGCUGCAUGGCUGUCGUCAGCUCGUGUCGUGAGAUGUUUGGUUAAGUCCAGCAACGAGCGCAACCCUUACUGUCUGUUGCCAUCAUUAGGUUGGGAACUCUGACGGGACUGCCGGUGAUAAGCCGGAGGAAGGCGGGGACGACGUCAAGUCAUCAUGGCCCUUACGAGUGGGGCUACAAACGUGCUACAAUGGCGGUGACAGUGAGCAGCUAGGUCGCGAGGCCAAGCUAAUCUCAAAAAGCCGUCUCAGUUCGGAUUGUUCUCUGCAACUCGAGAGCAUGAAGUUGGAAUCGCUAGUAAUCGUGAAUCAGCAUGUCACGGUGAAUACGUUCCCGGGUCUUGUACACACCGCCCGUCAAGUGAUGGGAGUUGGCUUUGCCCGAAGAUGGUGCGCUAACUUUUAGAGGCAGCCGGCCACGGUAAGGUCAGCGACUGGCACUAAGUCGUAACAAGGUAGCCGUAGGGGAACCUGCGGCUGGAUCACCUCCUU